AGUGAACGCUGGCGGUAGGCCUAACACAUGCAAGUCGAACGGCAGCACAGUAAGCGCUUGCUCUUACGGUUGGCGAGUGGCGGACGGGUGAGGAAUACAUCGGAAUCUACUUUUUCGGGGGGGAUUACGUAGGGAAACUUACGCUACUACCGCAUACGACCUACGGCUGAAAGCAGGGGAUCUUCGCACCUUGCGCGACUGAAUGAGCCGAUGUCGGAUUAGCUAGUUGGCGGGGUAAAGGCCCACCAAGGCGACGAUCCGUAGCUGGUCUGAGAGGAUGAUCAGCCACACUGGAACUGAGACACGGUCCAGACUCCUACGGGAGGCAGCAGUAGGGAAUAUUGGACAAUGGGCGCAAGCCUGAUCCAGCCAUACCGCGUGGGUGAAGAAGGCCUUCGGGUUGUAAAGCCCUUUUGUUGGGAAAGAAAAGCAGCAGGUUAAUCCCCCGCUGUUCUGACGGUACCCAAUGAGUAAGCACCGGCUAACUUCGUG
rnacentral:rRNA from 1 species